UACGGAGGGGGCAAGCGUUGUUCGGAAUUACUGGGCGUAAAGCGCGCGUAGGCGGUGCGGUAAGUCAGGGGUUAAAGGCUGCAGCUCAACUGCAGUAAGGCCUCAGAUACUAUCGUGCUAGAGUGCCGGAGAGGGUAGCGGAAUUCCCUGUGUAGCGGUGAAAUGCGUAGAUAUAGGGAGGAACACCGGUUGCGAAGGCGGCUACCUGGCCGGUAACUGACGCUGAGGUGCGAGAGCGUGGGGAGCAAACAGG
rnacentral:rRNA from 1 species